rnacentral:lncRNA from 1 species
AAAAGCUCGAGAAUAGGUUAUCAGUAUAAGAUUAUUCAAACAUGGAUUAUCUUAAGCAUACUUUAGAUUUGAUUACAAGAAAAGCUCGAUAAUAGGUUAUCAGUAUAAGAUUAUUCAAACAUGGAUUAUCUUAAGCAUACUUUAGAUUUGAUUACAAGAAAAGCUUGAGAAUAGGUUAUUGGUACAAGAUUAUUUAAACAUGGAUUCUGAUUUAGGUUCCCCUGGCUAGCAUUUGAUGGUAUCUUUUGAGUGACUCUUCUCUUUCGAAUCUGAGCUGCUUCCUGAAGUUGUCGAUGAAUUCAUCAGCCAUCUUGUUUACAUCCUCCUGCCGCACCGUUCCUUUUCUUUCGUCUUUCUUUUCUCCACGAUCAUUAUUAUUUUGAUAGCUUCUUCCAUUUGAACCAGCUGUUUGAUGAUGUUCCAUAUGCUUGAGUAGUUUUGGUGGAUGGAACUUUUGUAGAGUGCUUGUUUGGCUUCGAUGAUGUGUGAUGAACUACGAUACCGCGUAUUUAUAGUCGGGAUUGAAUUCAGAUUCUGAUCUUCAAAGGAUGAAUUUACACGUGAAGAAGGCAAAGAAAAGAAAAAGUAUCAGGGCAUUAUGUUUAUUUCCCUCUCAGCAAAAUAUAAAAAAAAAAUCAUGUCUGAAAGCAAACUUUUUUUUUCUAUUUUAUUGAAUAUUUU